CACACAGGGCUGAGGUCUCUGGGAAGGCAGAGCUGUGGUCAAGAAGAAAAUGAGGCUGCUGGGUCUUCUCCUGUGCCUGCUGACAGCCCCACAAGGUGUCCUGUCCCAGGUGCAGCUGCAGGAGUUGGGCCCAGGACUGGUGAAGCCCUCGCAGACCCUCUCCCUCACCUGGUCUGUCUCUGGAUUCUCCAUCACAACCAGUGGUUACUGGUGGAGCUGGAUCCGCCAGCCCCCAGGGAAGGGGCUGGAGUGGAUCGGGUACAUAGAUAGUGGCGGGAGCACUUACUACAGCCCCUCCCUCAAGAGCCUAACCUCCAUCUCCAGAGACAGGUCCAAGAACCAGUUCUCCCUGCAGUUGCGCUCCCUGACCACCGAGGACACAGCUGUAUAUUACUGUGCAAGAGACACAUCCCAGGCCCAGGUGAGCUGCCUGUGA